UACAGAGGGGGCAAGCGUUAUUCUGAAUUAUUGGGCGUAAAGGGCGCGUAGGCGGCUUGGCAAGUGGAAGGUGAAAUCCCUCGGCUUAACCGAGGAACUGCCCUCCAAACUGCUUCGCUUGAGACCGGGAGAGGUGAGUGGAAUUCCCAGUGUAGCGGUGAAAUGCGUAGAUAUUGGGAGGAACACCAGUGGCGAAGGCGGCUCACUGGACCGGUACUGACGCUGAUGCGCGAAAGCGUGGGGAGCAAACGGG
rnacentral:rRNA from 1 species